CGGACGGGUGAGUAACGCGUGGAAGACCUGCCGUAUACUGGGGGAUAACACUUAGAAAUAGGUGCUAAUACCGCAUAAGCGCACAGCUUCGCAUGAAGCGGUGUGAAAAACUCUGGUGGUAUACGAUGGUUCCGCGUCUGAUUAGCUAGUUGGUGGGGUAAUGGCCUACCAAGGCAACGAUCAGUAGCCGGCCUGAGAGGGUGAACGGCCACAUUGGGACUGAGACACGGCCCAAACUCCUACGGAAGGCAGCAG
rnacentral:rRNA from 1 species